rnacentral:rRNA from 1 species
GACAUAGGUGACGAACGUUAUCCGGAAUUAUUGGGCGUAAAGGAUGCGUAGAUGGUUCGGUAAGUUACUGGUGGGAAAUCGAGGCCCAACCUCGUGGAAGCUGGUAAUACUGUCGAGCUUGAGUGCAGGAGAGGUUAACGGAACUUUAUGUGGAGCGGUAAAAUGCGUAGAUAUAUGAAAGAACACCGAUAUAGCGAAGGCAGUUAACUAUUCUGCUACUGACAUUGAGGCAUGAAAGCGUGGGGAGCAAAACGG